UUUACAUUUUUUCACUUCUAUACUACUGAUCUACAGAAUACAAGGUAGGUCGAAGACAUGGUUUUAAAAAACAAGAAUACAAGGUAGGUGGUAUCCCGAAUAAGAAAAUAUUUAAUGAUAAAGCCAAAUUCUAGAAGAAGAGAAGACUUCUCUUCACCCAUCAUCUGCAUGGAAUCCGGGAAACUAAAGCUUGUCACUUUGAAGACCACACCCCACUAUUAGGUAGAACCCCCAAGGCCUUCUUAAGCCCAUUUCUCUUCGUUCUACCUUCUCUAUUUGUUCCUAGGUCUGUUGCCAUACCAUGGUUUUGCUUCUUGAACGGAAAGCAGUAGCAAUGGCAGGGCAAUAGUUGCAGAGGUGGAGUUGCAGUAGCACUGGCGGAGUUGUUAUAGCAGCAAUAAGUCAGCAACAGCUGUGGAGGGGAAGGGAGAGGUGGAAGGUUGUGCUAACGACGGAGGGAGAAAGUUGUGAUACAAAGGCAGUGACCAUAUCAAGACUUGGGAAAAAAUCCGAGUCAAGUAAAAAAUCGUUUGUGACUCGGACCGAGUCUUGCUAUUUUUUUAUACUUCGGCGAGUUUAUGUAACUUUUGACUAGGUUUUCGAUAUUUUUUACUUGACUCGAGUGACUUAUCAGAGUCAAAGAGAAUUUUAUUUUUUCUUUUGAAAAAUUUUCUGCUCCAGAGUGUAAUAUACAAUUUUGAAUUCUGUGUUUAUCUCUCUCAUCCUUUCUUCUAAGUUGAUCUCUGUCCUUUAGGAAUGAUUCCAUUUCAAGAAUAGUGGUUGGGUAUUUUCUUCCAGCAAGCCACUCUCGGAUAGAAAACACUCUCCCAUAAAAAUAUUAAGGGCAUGCAAACCUCUAUCCAAGAUUAUUUCUAUGAUUACCGAUCGAUAUGAUCCUUUGUUUAAGAAAAUGGACCCUCAUCCACUGGCCAAGUCAACCAUAGCUUUAGAUGAAGACAGACCAUCACCCACUGCGGCCAGAUCAGCCGCAGCUUAGGAUGAAGAGGCGCUUGUCAGGGAAUCAAUUUGAUUAACACUCUUUUUUCCAUUAAAAAUUAUAUUUUUAUUUACUUUCUUAAAUUAUAUUAACCUGGAAUAUUCACGAGAAUAUUAUUUUUCCUUUUCUAAAGGUUCCAUAAAAAUCAGAAUAAAUUAUUUUGGACUAUAAAUUCAAACAAUAUGAGGUUCAUCUACUUCCCACCUAGACCUAACUAGAAGAGCUAAUUAAGUGUGAAGAUAAAAGAGCAAUGGCGGGAGGAAGAAACAUUAGAUCAGUUCUCUUAAUGUUUUUAGUUAUGGUUGCGGUUGCACAGCAGACCUCCGCCAUAUCCAUUUUCAAAUGCUUCAGUUGCAUCAAAUGCAUCAUACAAGGUGGUUCACUACUUUCAUGUGGUAUUGAUUGUUUGGUCUGUCUUGGAGGAGUGUCCCAAGCUUCCAUUAAUUUAGAUACAAAUUUCUAUUGUGUUGUUGGAUGUUCCCAAUCUUCAUGCUCCACUUACAUCAAUGAUGACAACAAAUUGGAAAGUUGCAUGACUUCUUGUUCCAAAAGAUGCAGCAGCAACCAUUGAAGAAAAAGCACCACAUAUUGUAGUCAAAAUCCUCUAGUAUGAUAUGAGAAACUUUGGGUUCAAGGAAUAAUGUAAAAUCUUUAUAGUAAGAAUUUUUUAUUAAUUAAUAAAAGGGAUUUGGCAAUUUAUC